rnacentral:rRNA from 1 species
GAUGAACGCUAGCGGGAGGCCUAACACAUGCAAGCCGCGGGGUAUAGAUUAGCUUGCUAAUCUAGAGACCGGCGUACGGGUGCGUAACACGUGUGCAACCUACCUUUAUCAGGGGGAUAGCCUUUCGAAAGGAAGAUUAAUACCCCAUAACAUAUUGAAUGGCAUCAUUUAAUAUUGAAAACUACGGUGGAUAAAGAUGGGCACGCGGAAGAUUAGAUAGUUGGUGAGGUAACGGCUCACCAAGUCAGUGAUCUUUAGGGGGCCUGAGAGGGUGAUCCCCCACACUGGUACUGAGACACGGACCAGACUCCUACGGGAGGCAGCAGUGAGGAAUAUUGGACAAUGGGUGAGAGCCUGAUCCAGCCAUCCCGCGUGAAGGACGAAGGACCUAUGGUUUGUAAACUUCUUUUCUACAGGGAUAAACCUACUCUCGUGAGGGUAGCUGAAGGUACUGUAGGAAUAAGCACCGGCUAACUCCGUGCCAGCAGCCGCGGUAAUACGGAGGGUGCGAGCGUUAUCCGGAUUUAUUGGGUUUAAAGGGUCCGUAGGCGGGCUAAUAAGUCAGUGGUGAAAUCUCAUAGCUUAACUAUGAAACUGCCAUUGAUACUGUUAGUCUUGAGUGUAGUUGAGGUAGCUGGAAUGAGUAGUGUAGCGGUGAAAUGCAUAGAUAUUACUCAGAACACCGAUUGCGAAGGCAGGUUACCAAGUUACAACUGACGCUAAUGGACGAAAGCGUGGG